rnacentral:rRNA from 1 species
UACGUAGGUGGCAAGCGUUGUCCGGAUUUACUGGGCGUAAAGAGCGCGCAGGCGGUCGUUCAAGUCGCGUGUGAAAGCCCCCGGCUCAACUGGGGAGGGUCACGCGAUACUGAUCGACUCGAAGGCAGGAGAGGGAAGUGGAAUUCCCGGUGUAGUGGUGAAAUGCGUAGAUAUCGGGAGGAACACCAGUGGCGAAGGCAGCCCCCUGGGUCAAGAUUGACGCUCAUGCACGAAAGCGUGGGGAGCAAACAGG